rnacentral:lncRNA from 1 species
UUCUUUCUUUCUUUUUUUUCCCCACCAUUCAUGUAACUGCUAAAAAAAAAAAAAAAAAUGUAGAUGCCUUCAAAGAAAAAUAAUGUAAAUACUUUCCAUGUUAGGUAGAUGGAUGAUAGGUUGAUAGAUCUGUAUAGCUGUCCUGGGAUAAUUGCAGGUAAUUGUUUGGAAAAGUUGUCAUUUCUUAGAGCUGAUAAAGAUUCUAGAAGCUAUGGCCCUCAGUACCCUGGAAAGCAAAUCUUCCACUGAACUUAAUUCCCACAUGGUAGCUCACGAUUUCAGUAAUUAUUUCCUGUCAAAAAUUGGAAAUGUGAUAUUGCUGAUUUUUUAAAAUUUUUUGUUAUCAUUACUUUGUAUUUUCUUACCAUGUCUUCAUUCCUUGAAUCACCGAAGCAUAUCUUUGUUUCUGUAUAUUACCCUAAUUCCAAUUUAUCCCAAUAACAGACACCAACAGAAACUCUAAAAUAAUAUCUUCUUAUUGGAUGCAAAAUUAAUUUAGUUCAGUUCCGCAAGUGUUUUUGAAGCCCUACUAUAUUUUUGGCCCUAAGUUAAAAAUAUAAAUAGCAAUUGUUUGUCUCCACAAGAAGAAACAGAAUGAAAAGGAAAUGCGGUGUGAACUUUUCGCUGCAAUUUCUCUAGCCUUCAGAUGUUAAGUUCAUACUGCUUCUCAAUUUUAGAAAGUAUUUGUGAGAAUCAAAAUGGACCAACAUGAAAUAAUGGGUGAAUGUGUGGUCUUUUUUAGGAUGCAAGCUGUAUAAUCGAGGAUAAAGAACAUUGGUUUGGAGAAGACAGUUCUGGGUUUGAAUCUUAGCUCUACACUUCACACAGUGGAACUCUGCCAAUUCUCUUACACUUUCUGGGCCUCUAUUCUUAUAUCUCUGAGCUGAGGAUGAUCAAACCUAUCUCACCAGGUUGUUAUGAAAGCCAAGUGAGAUAAUUGGUAUUAAGCUCCCAAUCCAGUGCAGGACAACCUGGUCAGUGUUCAGUCCAACAAAUUUGCUUCUUUUAGAAUGGAACAAGGGACCGUCUGAGAGGCUGCUGAUCAUCAAGUAAAGGGAGAAGGCUGUCAGCAGUAGAACAUAACAAUUUAUAAAUUUCUUAUUUCACAACAAGCUCUGGGACAUCCAUCGUCUAUGGAAAUAAACAAACUCUGAGUCUGGGGCCCGUUCCCAGCUGUGGAGUCCAAUGCAAAUGCACCUGAAUGACUAAUGUGUGUUGCAAUGACUCAUCAACCCCUGACUGCAAUCUGGGUCCAUCUGCUGAGAAGGACCAGCCACCCCACCCAAAAGGGGCCCAUGAGAACUUCCAUAAGAUCAUCUCUUUGAAAAAGGAAGCUUUUCUUGCUCUCAAGGUGUGUUAGGCAAAGCCUCAUUCCAGUUAUUUAGCAGACCAUGUUAAAGAAGCUAGCAGGUUUGCCCAGGCAUCUUGAGAGCUCCUCAAGUUCCAGUUACUCUUUUAGCAGAAACAACUCUUGGUUUCAGGGAGCAGGGGAGAGGGAGGUAAGACUUUCUCAAGGUCUCACAGACAAAUAUCCAUAUUUUUUCUUUAAUCUGACACAUUUUUACUCUGCUGUGUGUUAUGCAUGUACUGACUUUUUUCCUUGAGAGUUACAGGAUGAAAAUGGAAUCAAAGUGAUGGUGAGCUUGUUUUCAAUCCCUCCGUAACGUGAUCACAUGCUAAGAAUAUCUUCACAUUCUAAGGAUUUUUCUGGAUUCCUGGCCGCAUACAGUCUGAUCCUUGGUUGCUAAACUCCCCACCCCAGGCUUUUCUCUUUUCAUCUGCUGUGAUCAUUUGGAUCCUUUGCAAGAAUUCAGUUAGACAGUGAUGCAAAUACAUACUUUGAUCUACUCACUUCUCUUAGCAGAUAAUGCUGAUCCCUGAGCCUGGCCCUUGUUCUCACUGAGUCUGGAAGUUAUCCGAAAUACUGUUUUAAUAUGGCGCUCUAAACAGUGAACAUAUGUGGGGAACAUUUCCAAAGCUGCUUACUGGGCUGUCACAAGGAGAGAUGGACCUCUGUUAGAUAAGGAUCUCCUUCAAGGCAAACUUACACAUAUAAAUCUUGUAUGGCAAUGCAUCUAGGGCUUUGGCACAUAGUAGGUACUCAACAAUUAGUUGUUGAAUUAAAGACUGAAACAACUGAAUAAAUGUGGUGUUAGAUCCAUUUUCCCAAGUUACGUUUACUCUCCUAGAGAAUCUCGGGCAUAAAAGGGACAUGACUGAUCAGAGGGCACAUCAGAGAUUUAGAGAGAGAGAGAGCAAACAGCUGGACAAGGUUUUUAUUUGGUGAUUGCAAUAAAAACAGAAUAAUACAUAGACUUUCCAGAAGAAGGAAAAUUGAAAUGUCAGAUAUUGAGCCGGGAUGGGAAUCACACAGAAUUUCUCUCUACAUACUUGUCCAUAAAAUCAACAUGCUUUUUAAUGGAUUUUUAAUAGAACAGUUUCUAAGAUGAAAGCAUGUGCACGCCCACACUUUGAAUCUGGCACGUCUAAUUGUUUUCUCUGUAAUUAAUAAAAACCCUGGGAAAAGUAAUUAUCCAGUGUGUUUUGUUCAUUUUUGUAAGGCUUUGAAAUAUAUAUGUUUAUUAUACUGUAAGGUGCUUAAAUAAAUGUUUUGGCUUCUUAUGGCAAUGAGCGAAAUUGGCUGCUCUUCUCACAUAGAGGUGAAUAUGGAAAUCAGUGGUAUCCAGAAAAGAGAGAGUGGGGGGAAAUAGGACUUUUGGAAAAUGAUGCUACCCCUGUAAUACAAUGAUGCUUAUUGUUAAGUGUGGUCAAAAACCAGUGACUCAUCUUUAUAAGAAAACUCGCUAAGGAAUCCCAGCUGACUCAAAGGUACACUGAAGACCUAUGGCAGUAACUGUCUGGUUUUUCCAUUAGAGGGCCUUUCCACAAAUGGCUACACUAUUUUGUUGUUUUUAAGUUAAUUCUGCUUAGAGAAUUUUUAUCCUGACUUUUUAGAGAAGGGAAAGCAAAACAUUUAGGUAGAAGACGAUGACAGAAAUAAAUGAGCCAGGUCUUACUGGAAUGGUUCAAAACGGGGAGGGGAGUGAGCCAUUGUGCUGAGAAGAACACUAAGUUUUGGAAGUUUGGAAACCUGGAUUUAGCUCCUUUUUUUUUUUUUUUUUUGUAAGACCUUCAUCUCAAAUGACCUCACUUGUUUCAUCUAUAAAAAUGAAGGAGUUUGGUGUACCACUUUGGAACAUCCUUUGUCAUUAUCUCCUACAGAUGGUUAUAUGUAUACUUUAUGCUCCAGCAAUUCUGCUGCUAAGUAUGUACCAGAAACAAGUGGACGUGCUCAUCAAAAAAUGCACACAGAGAUGCUUAUGCCAGCAUGACUCAAAAUAAUAAAACUGGGACUAUCCCAAGUGUCCAUCAACCCUGAAAUGUAUUAUACUCAUAAAGCAGAAUAUUAUAUAUGAAUGAAAAGGAAUGUGCAAAGUCAUGAAAAUGUUGAGAUGUGUCAGGCCCACAAGAUUUCAUGCUAUGUGAUGCUGUUCGUGUAUAGUUCAAAAAUAGGCAAACUUAAUUCAGAGAGAAAUAGUUUGGGAUUAGACAGAUCUGGAUUGAAACAUUACAUUUACAAAUUAACGGCUCUGGAGUUCCCUGUCGUGGCUCAGUGGUUAACGAACCUGACUAGCAUCCAUGAGGAUGCGGGUUCAAUCCCUGGCCUUGCUCAGUGGGUGGAGGAUCCAGCAUUGCUGUGAGCUUUGUUAUAGUUCAUGGAUGCAGCUUGGAUCCUGUGUUGCUGUGGCUCUGGUGUAGGCCAGUGGCUAUAGCUCUGAUUGAACCCCUUGCCUGGGAACCUCCACAUGCUACUGGUGCAGCCCUAAAAAGACAAAAAGACAAAAUUAAUGGACUCUCAGUUUCCCCAUUUGGCAUAACACAGUGUUUCAUAUUAAAAAAUACAUGUAAAAUGAUAAUUCUUAUUAGUAGUAUUCCAAACUGUCACCUGGGUUUCCUUUAAGGUACAUUAUUCUAAGGUUAGAUAGGAAUUUUUAAAUCUGUGGCUCUAGGUCUUGAUCAUGUCCCCUAUCACAUAAAGUUUGGUUCUUCUUCUAUUCCUCUUCUAACCUUCUUGCUAUUCCUUUUCCUUCCUUUUUUUAUUCCUUUCUCCCAUCCUUCCGUCUUUGUUGAUUUUGAUCUUUCUGUGGGUAAGACCGCCCCCCCCCCAAACAUAGUUCCUUCUAAAGCUCCUUCAAGACAAGCAGCUGGAAUUUGCUCUUUCUAGCUUACUCUCUCAAUAUAUUACUCUGGAGUUUUCCAAGGGCACAGUCAUUAGUGUGUGUAGUGUGUUCAUUGCUGCAUUCAAGGCACAGGUAUGUCAUGGCGCAAAUGCUUCAUAGCAUAUAAAGGAAUAAGCAUCCUAAGGCUCCCUUGACACGUUCUACCUGGACUGAAAUACUGUGAAUUUCUCCACUCCUCAGGCAGUCAGCUGCCUCAACCACCCCUCCCGCCAUGAUAGACCAAAUCUCCUGAAGAAGUGUUUAUAUUUUCCCAUUGGUCACUGGCACUGCCCUUCCCUGUUUCCCCCUUGGAAUAAUUUACUGUGUUUUCUUUUUAAAAUUCUAUUUAUUUUUAUUUCCCCAAUACAGUAUUUUUUUUCUACUGUACAUCAAGGUGACCCAGUUGCCCAUACAUGUGUACAUUCUUUUUUUUCACACAUUAUCAUGCUCCAUCAUAAGUGAUUCUAGUCAAUGUUUUUUAAAAAGGUGCAAAUCAUGUUCUGUAUCUUCUUUGUUUAAAUUCCUCCAACAAAGCCCAGUGGAAGUGGAAUGAAUCCUGAGUCAUAACCAUGGCCUAUCAGGUCUGCCAGGACCCCAGUUCUCACCCACUCUCAUCUUCUCCCUUUGUUGGUGUGGCUUUAUUUGUUUCUCACAUACAUUAUAUUUACACUCAACUCAGGGUCUUUGCACAUGCCAAGCCUCUAUUAGAAAAUUCUUCUCCAGAAGAUUUCAUGGAUAGCUCCUUGUAACCCUUCAAGUUAUCACCUAUUAAGAGAGCUUUUCCCAAGACUAGCCCAGCUAAAGUAAUGUUUAUCCCAUCCCAAAUUAUGAUCACAUCACCUUAUUAUAUUUUUAUAGCAACUUUCACUAACCUUAUUUAUCUGCCUUGCUUUUUUUUUUUUGUCUUGUUUACAUGAUUAUUGAUGUGAAUGUUUCAGGGGAUGCUGCUGGUAUGGUUUAUUGGUGAUGCCAGUGGUAUUAGUGGUACAGGGAGUAGUUAUUCAAUAAUGGUCUUUCUGUACUCUGAGUUUUCAUUACUCCUACUCAUGGCUGAAUUCAGUUAACUCCAUGAUCCGUCAGAGAAUUGAUGUGGGUAAUACGAGGAGUAGAUGGCCUUAGACAUCCUCUCUUCAUCUCUGAUUCCAACAUGAUCACAGUCACUGGCUUCCACUCCCUGGGUCAAGCCAUUUCCCAGGCUUGAUUUGAGAACUUCAGAUUUCUGCCUCUUCUUUACAGGCUGUAGUAUGAGCUGCACACAGAAUUGCAUAAAGAAAGAAAAUUCUUAGCUAGUUUCUAGAAUAUUAACAUGGACACCAAUGGCAGAACCCCAGCAAUUAACUUCUCCUUUGCAUGGUAUAUCUUGGAUAAAAUAAAAAUACUUUGUUGGUAUUUUGUAUUUGGUUUCAUUUAUUUGUAUUCUAAUCCCAAAAAACCCAAGUACUCCCAAUAGCACUUAGCGGUAACAGUUGGCUUCUUGCUGUGUUGUAGGAAAUACAUAGAAGCACCAUGAGUGCCUAAUAAAUGUAUGCCCUCCCCAAAUUAGGUCUUGUUUUAAAACUCUUCAAUGCUAUGUUUACUGAAUAUAUAUUCUUAGGCAGAGGCUGCAUAUGUUAAUUCCUCCAGACCCCUUUCCCUUCCUUUAAAAGCAUACAUGGGUUUAGGAAAGAAACAGAUUGGCACUGAGAUGUAGUAUACUGUUUUGGAGUUUGAUAUGCACUCAAGUUGUGGAUCAACACAUAGCAGCUUUUUGACACUGACAAAUUAUUUGACCUCUCUGAGCCAAAGUUUCCUCAGUACUACCCUAAGACACACAAAACCUGCUUUGCUUUUCUCACUCAGUUAUUAAAGGAUGUAAAUGAGUUUACUAAAUCUUUGGGCAUUCAAUAAUGGUCAUUUCUCUUCUUCACUCACAAGAUGCCACAAACAUGGCCUUGACUUGGAAGAUAGACAGAUGAAGGAGCUAGGUCUUGUGUUGCCUCUUAAAGAACACAGUUGCCCUAUGUGAGUAAUUGCAGUUCUCCUGCUGUCAGUCUGGAGAGUAUUAAUUUCGGUUGAAUGAAGCCUGUGGUGGAAAGAUGCACCCACUGAGGAACAGGAUGAGUUUACAAAUGAUUAUGCAAAUAUGGCCGCAUGUUUUUCUCCAGACCUAACCACAACAUGAGUGCAGAUUAAUCAAUGUAGACACUGUCGGCAAAUGGAGCACUUCAUUCUGUUCUUCCUGAGAAGACAGAAAUUCAGGUUAGUUUUCACCCAUUUAUAUCUAAAUGUGUUAUUGUAUGUUAUGUUCAAAUAUAUAUGUAAUAUAAACAUAUAUAAAUGUGUAUGUUAUAUCCAGAUGUGUUACAUUACAUGUAUUCUAUAUCAUAAAUAUUAUAUAUACUAUCCAAACUAUCGCAUGGCCUAGUGACUAUGCAGAAGUCAUGUCAUUUCUAUAAGCAAAAUGUUCUUCUUUUUACAGUCGGAAUAAGUGAUAUAAAAAUUGUCCUUUAUGGGUAAAAUAAAAUUUAAGAGCCUACUUUCAUAAAUAUUAUUUAUAUCAAAGUCACUCUCAUUUAUUUGAAUAAGAAUUUGAAUUUAUAAAUUCACUCUUUGAACAUUUUUAUGGAGUACCUAUUGUGGAUCAAGUUCAGUUCUAGGCACUGGGAUAAAUUAUUCAACCUAAGACACAAAAAUCACUGCCUUUAUGUAGAUUGCAUUCUAGCAUAUGGGCACAGACAACAAAUUAAUUAUGUACGUAUAUAGUUUAUUUACAUAUUCAUACAUGCCACAUAGUGCAUAGUACUAUAAGCUUGAUGGGAAAAAAGUAAAAGAUUUCCUAAGUAGGUGAUAUUUCAGCUGAAACUUAAAUCAGUUGAAUACCUUGAAUAUUUAAAAUUAUUAUAAAAAAAAGCGAAUAUCCAUGUUGAACACAUUGGAUUCUUUAAGUCUUUGUUUCUCCCUGUCUAAUAAUAGAACUUCUAAUCACCUUAAGACAACCUAACAGAAUGUUUAAGUUACGCUAGAGAAAAUAUGUAGUAAAUAAAGUUUUAUCAGUAUGGUUUAAGGAGGAGGAAAUUUUAAAAGAGAACAUAUAGAACUAAGAACUGUAAGAUCUGUGUUUUGAUCUCUCUCUGGGUGUAACUAGCUCAGAAACCUUGAGUGCAAACUAACCUGAAUUUCUCUGUCUUGUCAAUAGUCUCCCC